rnacentral:rRNA from 1 species
UUAUCUCGUGUGAGGUAGGAAACCCGGUAAACUCACCCAUG